AAAUGCGCCCCAAACGUUCGAUCGAGGGAGACAGAGGUGAGGCGGACUUAGGGUGAGGCGGUGAAUGCGUGAUAUCUAAGAACACCAGGGGCGAAAGCGCUCACUGGGUCUCUCUGACGCUGAGGCACGAAAGCUAGGGGAGCGAACGGGAUUAGAUACCCCGGUAGUCCUAGCCGUAAACGAUGAGCACUGGAUCGAAGGGUCCUCCAUAGCUUUUGUCGUAGCGAAAGUGUUAAGUGCUCCGCUGGGGAGUAUGGUCGCAAGGGCUGAAACUCAAAAGAAUUGACGGGGGCUCACACAAGCGGUGGAGGAUGUGGCUCAAUUCGAGGCUACGCGAAGAACCUUAUCCUAGUCUUGACAUGCACGGAUUAACUCCCUGAAAGGGGAGCCACGCCCGCAAGGGUGGAACGUGCACAGGUGCUGCAUGGCUGUCGUCAGCUCGUGUCGUGAGAUGUCGGGUUAAGUCCCUUAACGAGCGAAACCCUUGUCGCUAGUUGCCAGCGAGUCAUGUCGGGGACUCUAGCGAGACUGCCGGUGUUAAACCGGAGGAAGGCGGGGAUGACGUCAAGUCCUCAUGGCCUUUAUGACUAGGGCUGCACACGUCCUACAAUGCUGCGUACAAAGCGACGCGAACCCGCGAGGGCAAGCAAAUCGCAAAAAACGCAGCCCAGUUCGGAUUGCAGGCUGCAACUCGC
rnacentral:rRNA from 1 species